AGGUUUGCUGUGGUUAUGCGUCACUGUGGCCUUUAUAGUGACUGUUUCUGUGUUCAUUGUGCUGAAGAGAACCAAAGGGAACAGAAUCCAACAAAAGUCAAAUGAUGUUGAUCCUGACGUUUCCUACGCCUCCAUCAGCUUUAAGAAACCCAGCAGCAGCAGGAUUAAAAGUGAUGAUGAAGGAGAUGCAGUGACAUACAGCACAGUGAAAACUCCCUCCACUGAUCCCAGCAGCUUCUAAGCUUCAAUCAAGACGCCAAACAAACCAGGCUGAACCCGGCAAGUCAUAUGAACAUAUCUGAAAUAUUAAAUAUGCUAUUUUGUGAAAAGGAACAAAUUAUUAUUACUACAUUUGACUCUCAGUGUUUGAUUUAGGGACACAAACAUCCUGAAAUACAUCAGACUUCUUCUAGAAACUCUUAUUACUGCCUAUUUUAGUAAUUCAAACUCCAAAUAUACUUUUAUAUCCACUACCAGAACAGCUAACAUCCAGUCAGUCUUCUUUACCUCCACUGUUCAGUUUACAGCCAAUCAGCAUUAAAUAAAAUGAACAGUGCUCCUGGAUUAUAGCAUUAAGCCAAAGUAUUUCAGCUUCCCACGCUGCAUUUUUAGAAAUGCUCAAUUUUAUAUGUGUUCUGUAAAAACAAUCUGCAAAUAGGCAAUUUUUAUAAGAACAAUUUGGAGUCAAUCCACAGAAAAAUCUACAAAUACAGAACCAUAAAUAGUCAAGAUCCACGGUAAAACAAUGUAUCACAUUUUGAUGGUUCAGCUGAAUUAUUGUUUGUAUGAAUUUUAUUUGUUAUUAUUUUUGUAUGAUAGAUUUUAUGUCUUUAUCCUGUUUUCCAAUGUCAAAUUGUUGUCAUUAACAUUAUUAUUAUUUGAUAUUUAAAUUCUUUGGACUGUUAACUG